rnacentral:rRNA from 1 species
UGCAAGUCGAACGGUGAAGCCCCGCUUGCGGGGUGGAUCAGUGGCGAACGGGUGAGUAACUUGUGAGCAACCUGCCCCUGACUCUGGGAUAAGCGCUGGAAACGGCGUCUAAUACUGGAUACGAGACGUGAUCGCAUGGUCAACGUUUGGAAAGAUUUUUCGGUUGGGGAUGGGCUCGCGGCCUAUCAGCUUGUUGGUGAGGUAAUGGCUCACCAAGGCGUCGACGGGUAGCCGGCCUGAGAGGGUGACCGGCCACACUGGGACUGAGACACGGCCCAGACUCCUACGGGAGGCAGCAGUGGGGAAUAUUGCACAAUGGGCGCAAGCCUGAUGCAGCAACGCCGCGUGAGGGAUGACGGCCCUUUCGGGGUUGUAAACCUUCUUUUAGCAGGGAAGAAGCGAGAGUGACGGUACCUGCAGAAAAAAGCACCGGGCUAAACUACGUGCCAGCAGCCGCGGUAAUACGUAGGGGUGCAAGCGUUAUUCCGGAAUUUAUUGGGGCGUAAAGAAGCUUCGUAGGGCGGUUUUGUCGCGUUCUGCUGUGAAAUUCUGGGGGCUUCAACCCCCCAGCCUGCAGUGGGUACGGGCAGACUAGGAGUGCGGUAGGGGAAGAUUGGAAUUCCUGGUGUAGCGGUGGAAUGCGCAGAUAUCAGGAGGAACACCGAUGGCGAAGGCAGAUCUCUGGGCCGUAACUGACGCUGAGGAGCGAAAGGGUGGGGAGCAAACAGGCUUAGAUACCCUGGUAGUCCACCCCGUAAACGUUGGGAACUAGUUGUGGGGUCCAUUCCACGGAUUCCGUGACGCAGCUAACGCAUUAAGUUCCCCGCCUGGGGAGUACGGCCGCAAGGCUAAAACUCAAAGGAAUUGACGGGGACCCGCACAAGCGGCGGAGCAUGCGGAUUAAUUCGAUGCAACGCGAAGAACCUUACCAAGGCUUGACAUAUACGAGAACGGGCCAGAAAUGGUCAACUCUUUGGACACUCGUAAACAGGUGGUGCAUGGUUGUCGUCAGCUCGUGUCGUGAGAUGUUGGGUUAAGUCCCGCAACGAGCGCAACCCUCGUUCUAUGUUGCCAGCACGUAAUGGUGGGAACUCAUGGGAUACUGCCGGGUCAACUCGAAGAAGGUGGGGAUGACGUCAAAUCAUCAUGCCCCUUAUGUCUGGGCUUCCGCAUGCUACAUGGCCGGUCAAUGGGCUGCA